rnacentral:rRNA from 1 species
CACGUAGGGCGCAAGCGUUGUCCGGAAUUAUUGGGCGUAAAGAGCUCGUAGGCGGUCUGUUGCGUCCGCUGUGAAAACCCGGGGCUUAACCCCUGGCUUGCAGUGGAUACGGACAGACUAGAGGUAGGUAGGGGAGAAUGGAAUUCCCGGUGUAGCGGUGAAAUGCGCAGAUAUCGGGAAGAACACCCGUGGCGAAGGCGGUUCUCUGGGACGGUACUGACGCUGAGACGCGAAAGCGUGGGGAGCGAACAGG